rnacentral:lncRNA from 1 species
UCAAUAGACUAUGUAAGUACGGGACUAGAGACAGUAGGGGAGAUCCUUUGAUCACCUCUAAGGAAGUAUACUCUGACUCUAUAGGGUAGGAAAGAGCAAGAGAGCAGUACUCGUGUUAUAGUCCUUCUUGAAUAGCAGAAGGCGCUAACUUUAAGAGCAGCUAAGAAGUAGACUCAUCCCCGUGAUAAGGUGUUCUUAUAGCGUUAGUGCUGGGCACUUCUCUUUUAGCGCUUGCUGCUUGCGAUACGAUAAUAGCAGUGUUAUUGAGCGGGAGAGGGCAGAUCCACUUUACGGGAAGGGGAAAGUCGACUAAAGUAGGUUAGCUGAUGUCUACGGCCGCUAUUCCUUAUCCAAGCUUUUCUGUUAGUGCUGCUCCCGUUCCUGAAAGGAGCUUUUCUCUUUGUUCGUUUGGUGCUUCCUUAGCUGUUUGUUGCUUGCUGUUUAAGCCAAAUUGUCUUGUAGAUCAAGUCCAGAUCAAAUCAUCACUGAAUCCGCCGUGUGCUCAAUAACACAGCUAAACGCACUUAGCGAACCAGCGCACUCCAAUACAAGCUUCUAUUCUUUUGAAGGAAAGGUAGUUGACUUGCUUACUCCCUUACCUUACAGUGUCCAGUGGCUCUGCUCUAGUAAAGAUCCAAUCACUUUCUUUCGCUCCCCUUACUAUCUACUAUCUUUGCUUUGCUAAAAGAAUAGACUGAUUGAUUCUCUCCUUUACUUCGAGGAUAGUGCCCCAUACCAGCACUAAAGGAAAGGAGAACCUGAGAUAAGGUAUGGAAGCAGUCUUAUUAUUUCCACUUGAGUGGACUUACUUCGUAACCUCGUACAGUCUCGGCUCUAGUAAAGAGAGCUGGGGCUCACCUUACCCUACUNNNNNNNNNNNNNNNNNNNNNNNNNNNNNNNNNNNNNNNNNN